rnacentral:rRNA from 1 species
UGCCAGCCGCCGCGGUAAUACGGAGGGGGCUAGCGUUGUUCGGAAUUAUUGGGCGUAAAGGGCGCGUAGGCGGCCUGGUAAGUCAGUUGUGAAAGCCCUCGGCUCAACCGAGGAAUUGCGACUGAUACUGCUGGGCUUGAGUCCCGGAGAGGGUAGCGGAAUUCCCAGUGUAGCGGUGAAAUGCGUAGAUAUUGGGAGGAACAUCGGUGGCGAAGGCGGCUACCUGGACGGGUACUGACGCUGAGGCGCGAAAGCUAGGGGAGCAAACAGGAUUAGAUA